rnacentral:lncRNA from 1 species
AGAGAACCACAGAGCCACAGAAAGAAGAGGCCCUGUGAAGGGAGACCCGAGGGAGAGGUGUUGCAGGGAAAAAGGUCGUGCAUCAGGAAGUGUCAUUUAAAAAGGACCUGAGUUGGGCUGAGUUAUCAGCAAAUACACGCCAUGGCUGUGCUCCCCACCCCCCACCGUACACUAGCAGGGCAGCAGCUCUGAUUGUCUAACGAGCAGCAGAGCCGCCCAGCAGCAACCACAUUAGGAAGGAAUCGGAAACCAACGCUCCGCUGGCUGUCACCCCUUACCCACUUGCUGUCAGACCACAGCCUGAGGCAGCCAAACCCAUUUCCUUGGGGAUCCAGCGCAAACCAGAGAGUGUGGACAGGCCGAUGGAAGAAUGUUGGACCAGCUUUAAGAAUGGGCUGUUCUAAGUCAUGAAUAUUGUAGGAAGCAGCUCUAAGGACCACAGGGCUGGAGGGUGCACAGGAAGGGGCCAGUGCAUACAGACAAAAUAUUACUCUGUCACCCAGACUGGAGUCCAGUGGUGUGAUCUCAGCUCACUGCAACCUCCGCCCCCUCAAGUCCAAGCCACUCUCAUGCCUCAGUCUCCUGAGUAGCUGGGAUUACAGGCACCCACCACCACGUCUGGCUAAUUUUUGUAUUUUUAGUAGAGACAGGGUUUUGCCAUCUUGGCCAGCCUGGUCUCGAACUCCUGGCCUCAAGUGAUCUGUCCACCUCAGCCUCCCAAAGUGCUGGGAUUACAGAUGUGUCCAAACAGUGUCAUCCGGUGUCCUGACAUGCGGCCCCAAUGGACUGAUCCAGGGUGGAAAGGAAGAGUGAGAAGAAAUCAGACAGAAGAAUUCAGGAGAUGUGGCAACAGAGUGGAUGUAGCAGAAGGGACAUAGAGAGUGCCUAAAGAUGAGUCUUUGGUCAGCAUGUGAUGAAAAGAAUGAAGACACUGGGGAAGUGGGGAGCAGAAGCGGAUGUGGGCCCAGGAGGAAGAAGGUUCCAGAGAGCAGAGAUGGCAAAAAGAUGCAUGGAAGAGAGACACAGCAGGGUCGGGUUCUGGCCUCAGGAGCCAAGGGGGAAGUGCCUGAGGAGACCCCCAAAUGAGGCCUGUGUCAAUGAGGUCUUUAGGGGACUGGUUUCCAUGUAUGCCAGGCCAUACUCCCUGGAUUCCCAGCAUUGAGAAGACCAAACACUUCUACACAUUUAUUACUGAAGCCCCCUGCAAGCUGAAGGCGGAGGAAGUGGCCAAUCUCCUAAGCCGUGUGUGGCUGAGGCAGUUGUCAGAGCUGUGAUGAGGGAAAUGCUCAUUAUUCUUCUAUCCCUCACUUGGCCAAAUAAAGAACUUCUUAGAAUUCUUCCCCUGUGACAAAACGGGGCUGUGAUUUGGAAAGCCUCAGGCAAGUUUGCUAGGGCCGCGGUAACCAAGCACCACAGACUGGGUGGCUUCAAAACUGGACGGCUUCAACAGAAAGUUAUUGUUGCUCAGUUCUGGAAGCCAGAAGUCCAAAAUCAAGGUACUUGCAGGGUCAGUUCGAUCUGAGGGCUGCGAGGGAAGGAUCUGUUGUAGACCUCUCUCCUAGGUUUGCAGGCAUUGGUCCUGAUGUUCACAGGGCAUCCUUCCUGUGCCUUCACAUCAUCUUCUCUCUGAAUGUAUCUCUGGGUCCAAAUUUCCCUAUUUUAAAAUAAGGAAAUCAGUCCUAUUGGGUUAGCACCCCGCCCCUCACUUUAACUUGAUUACCUCUGUAAAGACCCUACCUCCAAAUAAGAUCACAUUCUGCGUACUGAGGGCUAGGACCUCAACAUCUGAAUUCAGGGUGGGUGGAUGCACAAUUCAUUCCAUAACAUUAAGAAGGAAGGGAUAAGUGCCCAAGGAAUCACAUGCUCGCUUGGGGAGAGUUCCAAGCGUGCAGAGCUGGUGGUCAUAGCCUAGCCUCAGGCCUUCGGAAAUCCCCUGAAUCUGGUUUUCCCAGUUCUCAUAAUCUCAUUUCACCAAAAUACGGCAUCUCAAUACAUUCCAUGCAUUUCUGGUGACAAGCUCAUUCUGGUGCACGCUAAGCAAUGUGCUAACUACGUCUUAACUAGGGUGGUUUAACUGGUUUGGUUAACAUAGAUCUCUGAGUCAUUUCACGCAUUCCUUAAGCCUAAACAAAUCUCAUCCAGGUGUUUAAGACAUUGCACAAUAUUAGACCAUCUGAAGCUCCAUCUCCUUGGGGCAAUGAUGAUGAUGGUGAUGAAAGUGGCUGGUGACUGUUCUCAGUCUCAUCGCCAUAAUGGAACCCUACGUUGUGUUCCUCCACACUGGUGUGAGGGACACUACUAAGUGCGGCAGAGUUUGCACUCAGGAUAGAGAAAUAUGGACUCACGCACAGAUUCCAGCUGAGUCCCUCCGAUGUGCUAGGUACUAUGUCCAGCCCCCCAGGAUUCACCUGUAAGCAGGACAGUCUUUUGGAUGACAGAGGGAAUUCUCAUAUAUCCACAGGCAGAUGGAAUUUACAAGUGGAAAGACCUAGAAGUUCAGAGACAGGGGGACUGAACUUUUUGCUUUCAGUCAGAAUCUUUGCUUACGGUUGUGCAAAUGCUUGCAUUGGUGGGUUUCCAUGCCAUAUAACGUGCUACAUAUUUUUACGUUACCCUUGCACAUAAGCAUACUGUUGGGAGGGAAAAUGAAGAGGGUGGAGGUGGUAACAAACUCAAGCUAAGGAAAUGGAAUUUGGAUGGGUACAAAGUCCAGAGAAUUAGCUUGAGGAAAAUGAACCAGGAUUCACACAGGAGUUUUCAAACAUCUCAAUAUCAGGACCCCUUUACCCUCUUAAAACUUACUUCGUGAGGACCUUAAAGAGCUUUUGUUUGUGUGACUUAUA